rnacentral:lncRNA from 1 species
AACACAUCAAAGCACUCUCUUGCUGACAUCAGGGCUUUCCUGUUGCAGUCGGGUGUGCACGUCUCCAACACCACUAUAAGACGACACUAUAGACGUCAAAGACCUGUAGGCCUUCCUAGAAAAACAACUGCAAGGAAAAUGAACAGUGCUGCACUUAAAACGAUUGACGAAAAACUUAACAAGGACAAUGAGCGAUCUGCUAAAAAGAUUCAGAGUGAGCUUCUGUUUAGAAUACAGUUAAAAGCAUCAGUCUGCACUAUUAGAAAACCAUUAAAACAACUCAGGUGGACCUAUGGAAAAGCCAGGAAUUAUGGACAGCUGUUUUUACAAAGACACUAUAGUAAAAUUUAAUCAGGUUCCAUAUGUAAAACAACACUUUAAAGAACCACAUCGCUUCUUCCAAGGUAGAUGCAGUAUGUAGGCCUACUGUACCAACUGUGUGUGUGUGUGUACAUGUUCACUGCUGUGUGUGUGUGUGCACACGUUCACUGCUGUGUGAAUGUGUUGAAUUUUUUUAUCAAUCUUG